rnacentral:rRNA from 1 species
UCUGGGACAAGCCCUGGAAACGGGGUCUAAUACCGGAUAACACCGGCUUCCGCAUGGAAGCUGGUUAAAAGCUCCGGCGGUGAAGGAUGAGCCCGCGGCCUAUCAGCUUGUUGGUGGGGUAAUGGCCUACCAAGGCGACGACGGGUAGCCGGCCUGAGAGGGCGACCGGCCACACUGGGACUGAGACACGGCCCAGACUCCUACGGGAGGCAGCAGUGGGGAAUAUUGCACAAUGGGCGAAAGCCUGAUGCAGCGACGCCGCGUGAGGGAUGACGGCCUUCGGGUUGUAAACCUCUUUCAGCAGGGAAGAAGCGAAAGUGACGGUACCUGCAGAAGAAGCGCCGGCUAACUACGUGCCAGCAGCCGCGGUAAUACGUAGGGCGCAAGCGUUGUCCGGAAUUAUUGGGCGUAAAGAGCUCGUAGGCGGCUUGUCACGUCGGGUGUGAAAGCCCGGGGCUUAACCCCGGGUCUGCAUCCGAUACGGGCAGGCUAGAGUGUGGUAGGGGAGAUCGGAAUUCCUGGUGUAGCGGUGAAAUGCGCAGAUAUCAGGAGGAACACCGGUGGCGAAGGCGGAUCUCUGGGCCAUUACUGACGCUGAGGAGCGAAAGCGUGGGGAGCGAACAGGAUUAGAUACCCUGGUAGUCCACGCCGUAAACGUUGGGAACUAGGUGUUGGCGACAUUCCACGUCGUCGGUGCCGCAGCUAACGCAUUAAGUUCCCCGCCUGG